rfam:Ipomoea nil DNA, scaffold: scaffold1317, cultivar: Tokyo-kokei standard.
GGGGAUGUAGCUCAAAUGGUAGAGCGCUCGCUUAGCAUGUGAGAAUUACGGGGACUUCCUUGCAUUUCCA